AAAUUGAAGAGUUUGAUCAUGGCUCAGAUUGAACGCUGGCGGCAGGCCUAACACAUGCAAGUCGAGCGGUAGCACAGAGAGCUUGCUCUCGGGUGACGAGCGGCGGACGGGUGAGUAAUGUCUGGGAAACUGCCUGAUGGAGGGGGAUAACUACUGGAAACGGUAGCUAAUACCGCAUAAUGUCGCAAGACCAAAGUGGGGGACCUUCGGGCCUCAUGCCAUCAGAUGUGCCCAGAUGGGAUUAGCUAGUAGGUGGGGUAACGGCUCACCUAGGCGACGAUCCCUAGCUGGUCUGAGAGGAUGACCAGCCACACUGGAACUGAGACACGGUCCAGACUCCUACGGGAGGCAGCAGUGGGGAAUAUUGCACAAUGGGCGCAAGCCUGAUGCAGCCAUGCCGCGUGUGUGAAGAAGGCCUUCGGGUUGUAAAGCACUUUCAGCGGGGAGGAAGGCGGUGAGGUUAAUAACCUCAUCGAUUGACGUUACCCGCAGAAGAAGCACCGGCUAACUCCGUGCCAGCAGCCGCGGUAAUACGGAGGGUGCAAGCGUUAAUCGGAAUUACUGGGCGUAAAGCGCACGCAGGCGGUCUGUCAAGUCGGAUGUGAAAUCCCCGGGCUCAACCUGGGAACUGCAUUCGAAACUGGCAGGCUAGAGUCUUGUAGAGGGGGGUAGAAUUCCAGGUGUAGCGGUGAAAUGCGUAGAGAUCUGGAGGAAUACCGGUGGCGAAGGCGGCCCCCUGGACAAAGACUGACGCUCAGGUGCGAAAGCGUGGGGAGCAAACAGGAUUAGAUACCCUGGUAGUCCACGCCGUAAACGAUGUCGAUUUGGAGGUUGUGCCCUUGAGGCGUGGCUUCCGGAGCUAACGCGUUAAAUCGACCGCCUGGGGAGUACGGCCGCAAGGUUAAAACUCAAAUGAAUUGACGGGGGCCCGCACAAGCGGUGGAGCAUGUGGUUUAAUUCGAUGCAACGCGAAGAACCUUACCUGGUCUUGACAUCCAC
rnacentral:rRNA from 1 species